rnacentral:tRNA from 1 species
CCCUGGGUGGCUCAGUUGGUUAAGCAUCUGACUUCAGCUCAGUUCAUGAUCUCACUGUUGUGAGUUCAAGCCCCACUUCAGGCU